rnacentral:sRNA from 2 species
CUAGAGAGUAUUAAAUUCAAUUCUAUGCAAUCUCUACAGCAGCCUCCAACAAUCAAUCUAUUCAAUAUCAAUUCAACAAAUCCAUAUACUCUAUUCUCUCUCUAUAUCUCAGAGAUUGAUAUUCAGAAUAUUGUCUGUUCCAUCAAUGUCUACACAGAGAUUCAGAUUUCAAAGAAUUCAGUUAUCAAUUCUUGAAAUUGGCAGCCAACUACUUCUACAGAAAUCAAGGUAUUUCUUGGGCAGAUUAUCUAUAUGAGAGUAUAUAGAUCUCCAGCAAUUGGAGAUUAUUGAAAUAAGAAUGAUACUCAGUGUAACAGGUGUGCCACUGAUUAAGCAGAUGUUAUCAAUAUUGCAGAUUAAACCAUUCAUACCAUCUGUGCAGUUUGUACAAUCUGUUUCAACAGCAAUAUCAACAGACUUGACACUAUUCUGAUAACAGUUUACAAAUUGAUUAAGAAAAGAAAGAGAAGAAAGAUCAGAAGAAGAGAUUGUAUGAGAGAGUUCUUAUAGAAGAAGAAUUAGAAUGAAAGAAUAUCAGAGAUCAUACUGCAGUGAAGUGUGAAGUGAAAAAAUAUUAAAAGUUAUAUAGAGGAAUCAUUAGAG